AGCGAACGUUUGCGGCGGGCCUAACACAUGCAAGUCGAACGCACUAGCAAUAGUGAGUGGCGCACGGGUGCGUAACACGUGGGUAAUCAACCCUUCAGCCUGAGAUAACGACUCGAAAGGGUCGCUAAUACCGGAUACGGCGCGAGAGGCUUCGGCUUCUCACGAGAAAGCCACGCAAGGGGCACUGAAGGACGAGCCUGCGGCCCAUCAGCUAGUUGGUGAGGUAAGAGCUCACCAAGGCUAAGACGGGUAGCUGGUCUGAGAGGAUGAUCAGCCACACUGGAACUGAGACACGGUCCAGACUCCUACGGGAGGCAGCAGUGGGGAAUAUUGCGCAAUGGGCGAAAGCCUGACGCAGCCACGCCGCGUGAGCGAUGAAGG
rnacentral:rRNA from 1 species